ensembl:lncRNA
CCUGUGAUGAAGGAGAGGUCGAUAGGCUGUUCCAUGUGAAUAUUAUUAGCAUUGCUGACAUCAAGCAGGGUCGAGUUCUUCACUUUAGGAUGCAGCAGCUCCUCCUCAAUGGAGAAGUCCAGUGGCCUUACUACAAGCCAAACCAGUAGCAAACAUCAAGAGGAAGUACAAAAAGAAUAACAUUACUCAGACAAAUCUUCAAUAUUUUCGUAAGGAUGGAGUUUGCUCGACACGUACAUGCCAACACACUCAGAGACCCUUUGUCGCACUCAUGGCGAAAUACUUCAGGGGUUGGCAGGCUGCUGGUACAGGUAGUGGACGAUAACGGACCGAAGAUACCAUCAGAGACGUCGUGGCUGGCGGACGUGUCAUACUCUAGAUCCGACGAUGCAGACCAUGAUUCCAGAGCUUCCCCCAGGACAAUCGGAUCAUCUUCAGGGGACUCAAAUGUUGGCAUUGGUGACGAUGCAUGUCCGUUAGUGUUCGAAAUGGUGGUACUUGGAUGGCUGAGGUUUUUAAAAUUCAGUUGGCCGCACCACACGGCCCUCGAACGGAGCGCAUCGAACUGAACGGGCUCCACAUUGUUCUAUUCAUUUAAACACAAGGGAAACAUUAUAAUAAAGGUCAGUGGUUGUUUACUUGGGAAAUGUUUGCAAUGAAAAUUCAAAAUAGGAUAAGUACGACGGAGUAUUAGGGCCACACACAAUAAUUGUUGCCGUGACGAGAUUAAAAUCGACACAUCGACUAGUAACACGAUUAAUUCGUAGGCUAUUCAAAUUAGAUAAAGGUAAUGGCAAAUAGAAAUGAUUAAAUACAGCUGGAUUUAUUCAAUAGACAGCUCACCAAGCUUCCUUGGGCAGUUGGAACUUCUAUUUCUUCAAGCUCAGUCUCCUCAAGCAGUGGUUGAUAAAUGUUGAUUUUCUCAGUUAAUGGUCUCCUAUACUCUUUAAAGUGAACAAAAUAAUCAGGUUGUUUUUUUUUAAGGAACAGGCCUACUAUUAACGUAGUCUCGCCUAUCCGGAACUGCCGGAGAUAUCUCGAGAUUCAGGAUGGCUUUCACGAGGCUAGCUUACCAAAACAAAUAUUGACCUUGCUACAAUGUUGUCUGUUUAUGUUCAUGACUUACUGUUUUUUUUUUGGAUCAGUUUGGUGUUGAUCGGCGUAUCUUUGAUAUUAAGUGGUCUGCCAAGCUGUUUAGGUUUGCGUCCCAUUACUAAUUAUGGCCUCGGAUGUCGUUGCCGUUACUUAAGAAGUUACAAGCAUGGAGUUCGAUGGGACUCUAACGAGAUUUUCAGUAUCUAGACUACGCGGACAAUAUCUCCAGGCCAAAGAAAAUAAAGACUGGUGCUUGUCUGUUUUGGAACUCAAAACUCAUAUUUUGACACUCUAUAGGCCUAACGCCGUUAGGAUAAAUGUCAUCUCGACCAGCGGCCACAUUAGCUAAACCAAAACGUGGUUAUCUAUGGUUGGAGUUCUCUCUUUCCGCCCGUCGCUUGGCAACCUCAAUCUAGAUCCAAAGGGGUGGUCCUUGACGUUCCAUCUAUCUAGUCCAGCUGAUUGGAUUCUAAAUAGCGGCGAAGUCACGCCCCUUCCGGUAGAGCCCAU